rnacentral:rRNA from 1 species
UACGGGGGGGGCAAGCGUUGUUCGGAAUUACUGGGCGUAAAGGGCUCGUAGGUGGCCAACUAAGUCAGACGUGAAAUCCCUCAGCUUAACUGGGGAACUGCGUCUGAUACUGGAUGGCUUGAGUUUGGGAGAGGGAUGCGGAAUUCCAGGUGUAGCGGUGAAAUGCGUAGAUAUCUGGAGGAACACCGGUGGCGAAGGCGGCAUCCUGGACCAACACUGACACUGAGGAGCGAAAGCCAGGGGAGCAAGCGGG